UGCUUUAGUUUCCUCAUCUGAAUAGAACGGAAAGCUAACCUGUGAUCACCCCAUGGAACAGCGGCGAGGACAGCCACUGUGUACCUGAGUCCCUGGAGUCAGAGUUGGCAAGAUGGAUCAGAGGGUAAAGGUGUUUGCUGUCAACUCUGAUGACUUGAGUUUGAUCUCCAGGGCCCACAGAACCAACUGCUGCAAGUUGUCCUCUGAUCUCAACAUAUGUGCCAUGGCAUAUGCACACACGUGCAUACACAACAAAUGAAUGAAUAAAUGAAUGAAUGAA